ACAUGUUUGCAACAUAUCGUUAAUGCACCAUAUCCCAUUAGAAAUCCAUAGUUAAGCACGCUCAGGAUAGAGUAGUACUGGGAUGGGUGAUAGCCCCAGAAUUCCUAGUAUUUUACAUGCC
rnacentral:rRNA from 1 species